AGUGGACUUUCCAGGUGUGGGAAGAGGAUGGGAAGGAGGUAACACAGGAGUAGGGAGAUCAGGAUUGAAAUAAGGAAGGGAAGAUGGACCAGCAUCAGGAAAAUCAGGUGUAGGAGAAUCAGAAUUAGAAGGAAGAACAGGAGAAUCAGGGGAAGUGAAUAUAGGAAAGUCUGAGGCAGUGAAAUCAUCAGCAGGAGGAAUAUAAGGAAAAUAUGAAGAAGAAGGGUGAGCAGAAGUAGGAUUAUUCUUAAAAGGGAUAUAAGUUUCAUGGAAGACAACAUCCCUUUAAACAAAACACUUCUUGGUAACCAAAUUAUACAGUUUAUAACCCUUUUUGGCAAAGGGGUAACCCAGAAACACACAAGAGUGGGCUCUAGGUUUCAGCUUGUCCCUUUGAGGGAUAGGGACAGCAGCAUAAGCAAGGCAUCCAAAUGUGGCAAAGGGGUAACCCAGAAACACACAAGAGUGGGCUCUAGGUUUCAGCUUGUCCCUUUGAGGGAUAGGGACAGCAGCAUAAGC
rnacentral:lncRNA from 1 species